GGGCUGCUCCUAGUACGAGAGGACCGGAGUGGACGCAUCACUGGUGUUCGGGUUGUCAUGCCAAUGGCACUGCCCGGUAGCUAAAUGCGGAAGAGAUAAGUGCUGAAAGCAUCUAAGCACGAAACUUGCCCCGAGAUGAGUUCUCCCUGAGACUUUAAGUCUCCUGAAGGAACGUUAAAGACGAUGACGUUGAUAGGCCGGGUGUGUAAGCGCAGCGAUGCGUUGAGCUAACCGGUACUAAUGAACCGUGAGGCUUAACCUU
rnacentral:rRNA from 1 species